UACAGAGGGGGCAAGCGUUGUUCGGAAUUACUGGGCGUAAAGGGCGCGUAGGCGGCCUGUUAAGUCAGACGUGAAAUCCCUCGGCUCAACCGGGGAACUGCGUCUGAUACUGGCGGGCUUGAAUUCGGGAGAGGGAUGUGGAAUUCCAGGUGUAGCGGUGAAAUGCGUAGAUAUUGGGAGGAACACCAGUGGCGAAGGCGGCUCACUGGACCGGUUCUGACGCUGAGGCGCGAAAGCGUGGGGAGCAAACAGG
rnacentral:rRNA from 1 species